rnacentral:rRNA from 1 species
UACCCCGAUGACCGGACAACCCGAGGAAACUCGGGCUAAUACCGGAUGUGUACGGAGACAUAAGUCUCUUUACUAAAGGUAGCUUCGGCUUCCGCAUUGGGAGGGGCCCGCGGCCCAUUAGCUAGUUGGUGGGGUCAAGGCCUACCAAGGCAACGAUGGGUAGCUGGUCUGAGAGGACGAUCAGCCACACUGGGACUGAGACACGGCCCAGACUCCUACGGGAGGCAGCAGUGGGGAAUCUUGCGCAAUGCGCGAAAGCGUGACGCAGCAACACCGCGUGAGGGAAGACGGCCUUAGGGUUGUAAACCUCUUUCAGAUGGGACGAAGGUGAUGCGGUGAAUAGCCGAUGUCAUUGACGGUACCGUCAGAAGAAGCUCCGGCUAACUACGUG